rnacentral:rRNA from 1 species
AACGCUGGCGGCAGGCCUAACACAUGCAAGUCGAGCGCACCUUCGGGUGAGCGGCGGACGGGUUAGUAACGCGUGGGAACGUACCCUUUUCUACGGAAUAGCCUUUGGAAACGAAGAGUAAUACCGUAUACGCCCUUUGGGGGAAAGAUUUAUCGGAGAAGGAUCGGCCCGCGUUAGAUUAGGUAGUUGGUGGGGUAACGGCCUACCAAGUCUACGAUCUAUAGCUGGUUUUAGAGGAUGAUCAGCAACACUGGGACUGAGACACGGCCCAGACUCCUACGGGAGGCAGCAGUGGGGAAUCUUAGACAAUGGGCGCAAGUCUGAUCUAGCCAUGCCGCGUGAGUGAUGAAGGCCUUAGGGUCGUAAAGCUCUUUCGCCUGUGAUGAUAAUGACAGUAGCAGGUAAAGAAACCCCGGCUAACUCCGUGCCAGCAGCCGCGGUAAUACGGAGGGGGUUAGCGUUGUUCGGAAUUACUGGGCGUAAAGCGCACGUAGGCGGAUUGGAAAGUUGGGGGUGAAAUCCCGGGGCUCAACCCCGGAACUGCCUCCA